ensembl:misc_RNA Metazoa_SRP Metazoan signal recognition particle RNA
GCUGGGCGUGGUGGUGUGCGCCUGUAAUCCCAGCCACUUGGGAGGCUGAGGCAGGAGAAUCACUUGAACCUGGGAGGUGGAGGUUGCAGUGAGCCAAGAUCGCAUUACUGCACUCCAGCCUGGGCAACAGAGUGAGACCCUGUCUCAA